CCUACGGGAGGCAGCAGUGGGGAAUAUUGCACAAUGGGCGAAACCCUGAUGCAGCGACGCCGCGUGAGUGAGGAAGUAAUUCGUUAUGUAAAGCUUUAUCAGCAGGGAAGAAAAUGACGGUACCUAAGUAAGAAGCACCGGCUAACUACGUGCCAGCAGCCGCGGUAAUACGUAGGGGGCAAGCGUUAUCCGGAUUUACUGGGUGUAAAGGGAGCGUAGGCGGCAGGGCAAGUCUGGAGUGAAAGGCGGGGGCUCAACCCACGGACUGCACUGGAGACUGUCCGGCUGGAGUGCAGUAGAGGUAAGUGGAAUUCCUGGUGUAGCGGUGAAAUGCGUAGAUAUCAGGAGGAACACCGGUGGCGAAGGCGGCUUACUGGACUGUAACUGACGUUGAGGCUCGAAAGCGUGGGGAGCAAACAGGAUUAGAUACCCUUGUAGUC
rnacentral:rRNA from 1 species